UACGAAGGGUGCAAGCGUUACUCGGAAUUACUGGGCGUAAAGCGUGCGUAGGCGGUUCGUUAAGUCUGUCGUGAAAGCCCUGGGCUCAACCUGGGAAUUGCGAUGGAUACUGGCGGGCUAGAGUACGGUAGAGGAUGGUGGAAUUCCCGGUGUAGCGGUGAAAUGCGUAGAUAUCAGAUAGAACACCAAUGGCGAAGGCAGUCAUCUGGGCCAUAACUGACACUAAAGCACGAAAGCGUGGGGAUCAAAC
rnacentral:rRNA from 1 species